UUUUUUUUUUUUUUUAGAGUCACACCUUUGGCAUAGGGAAGUUCUCAGGCCAGGGGUGGAACUGGAGCUGCAGCUGCCAGCCUACAUCACAGCCAGGGCAACACUGGAUCUUUAACUCGCUGAGAAAGACCAGGGAUCAAACCUGCAACCUCAUAGACCCACUGAGCCAUGAUGGGAGCUUUGCAAAUAAUUUUCUGAGAGUGAGUGUUCCCCAAUUAUUGCAUGGAGCAUUCACUGUUUAUCUGAAAAAUCAACUGAACUGGACAUUCUGUAUUUUUACUGGCUGUACCUGGCUACUCUAAUUGGAAAUCAAAAACCAUUCCUACUAGAGAACCACCACCCCACUCCAGUUUUGCAAUUUAGGAAACUGUACAUACUAAUGCUAUGUACAUAUACAUGCAUGCAUGCAUGCUUCUCAUGGAUAUAUAUGUUGAAAGUCUUCAUCAAAUCCUCUGACCAUGAAGACUAAUGAAGGCACAACUGCAAUGUCCCUACAGGAUCCAGCCCCUAUUACCUCUGUGACCUUGCCCAGGGCCCCCUCUCCUUUUAUUCCUAAUUUUUUUUUAAAAAAAACUGAUUAUGUACAGCAGAAAUUGACAGAACAUUGUAAAUCCACUAUAAUAAUUUUUUUUUAAUUGCAAGACUACUGCAAAUAAUGUAAGUGGAAGAGAUUUGUGCUUCUAGAAGAAGCACAAAUAGAUCCAAGGCAAUUUUAAAAACUAUAACCAGCCAGGCAUACCAGACAAUCUGAUCAGAUUUGGCCCCAUCUUCACCUGCCAUGUUUCACUUGAGCUUCAGCAUCUAAAUUCCAUAGCUACUCUAAGGGUCUUCUCUGGUAACUGUGGCUGAGAGGGAGGUGGGUGAGUUCUGGCCAUGAUUUUUGAGAUGGCAAAGAUCAAACCCAGAGAAACAAAACCUUCCUGCUGUCAUUGGCUGUGGUGCUUCUCACCCUCUGGCUGGCAUCAAAAUCACUUAGAAGACUUGCAGUGGUGGGGCCUCACCCCAGAGCUUCUGACACAGUAGGUCUGGGGUGGUACCCAAGAAUCUGCAUUCUAACAAGAUGCAGCUGAUCCAGGGGCGACCCUCUGGAAACCAUGUGCUUAUUGCCCCGAAGACCUGAAAAGUCACCCCAGAACUGUUAAGAAAGAGGAGAUGGAUGGACAAAGCAGAUACCUCGAGAUGCCAUAGAAGGCCAUGUACAAAGUCUUGCAUGACGAAGCUGACCUCUCUCUGUGAUGACCCCCUGGCCCUUGGCUCUCCAUGCACACUGCCCUUCAUGACAUUUCUCGAGUGUACCAUGCCAGCUCCUGCCUCAGGACCUUUUGCACUGGCCCCUCCUUCUCGCUGAAAUGCUAUUUUGCAAGCCUGCUGCAUAGCUCUUUCUCCAGGUCCAGGUCUCAGCAUAAGAGGCACCUUGAAGCAGCCUGAAAUCGCCCUGCCUCAUGCCCUGUUUAGUUUCUUCCCAUCUUAAAUGGACUCUUCUAUUUGUUUUGUUGAUUAAACCUGAAGAUCCCUCCUUCUUUGCUGGGUCCUUGGAGGCAAGGAUCUGAAUGGACCUGGUCAUGAUUCUAGGUUCAGGGCCAAGAGCAACAAGCAGGACACAGAAGGACAUUAGGUAAAUGCACGACUGAAAGAAGAAACAAAUGGAUAAAAUGAAAAGAUACUGGGCAAACAGCUCAAAACCAAUCUCUCUGUCUCAUUACCCCCAGACUAGCCCUUCCUGAAACCCCACUAAGAUAAAAUCUAGUGAGGAAGAGGCAGCCUGAACACAGAGCAUUCAUUUUAUUUUUAACCUCUGACCUCACCAUCCCUGAGCGACCCCAGCAGCCCGGCUGCACAUGCUCCACAUCCAGAGGGGGGGACUUCAUUAAGUUUCUUAUAUUAAAACUGGAGGAGUUCCCGUUAUGGCUCAGCAGGUUAAGAACGUGACUAGUAUCCAUGAGGAGGAGGGUUCAAUCCCUGGCCUCACUCAGUGGGUUAAGGAACCAGUUACCGCAAGGGAGGUGUAGGUCGCAGACACGGCUCAGAUCCAGUGUUGCUGUGGCUGUGGUGUAGACCGGCAGCUGUAGCUCUGAUUCGAUCCCUAGCCUGGGAACUUCCAUAUGCCAUAGGUACAGCCCUCAAAAGAAAGAAAGAAAAAAAAAAUGGUAGAGUGGCACGCCUCAAAACUUUUAAAAAAUUGUUUCUAUUAAUGUUUAAUUAGUUCAGGGAUUAAAGGCCCCACAAACUUGUUUCUCCCUCUCUAUUUUCUGAGGGUGAAGUUGUUUGAGUGAUUUAAUCAAUAUACCGAAUUCUCUGCAAGAAGGAAAGAGAUAGAGGAAAAGAAAAGGCAAGAAGGAGAAGGAAGGGGGAGGAGCGGNGGGGGGGGGGGGGGGGGGGGGAAGUAGGGAAGGAGAGAAGGAGGAAGGGAGGAGGGGAGGAAGGGUGAGAAGGGAGAAGGAGGGAGGAGGGGAAGGAGAGAGUGUGGGGAGCGGGAGGAGGGAGAGGGGAGACAGAGCAAGCAAAAGAUUGCCAAUGGGAAUCCAAGGGCAGAGGUAAGUCAACACUGCUGUUCAGAGGAGAGUUUAUCUAGCAGGAAGGGGGCCAAAGCAAAAAAUCUGUUUCAGCGGAAAAGACACACACAUACCAUUUGAGGUUUUCAGAUUCAAAUUCUAAGGGAGCUGUUUUACAAGGCUGCAGAUAACUGGGAGGAAUUCAAAAUAAUUCUUGCCUAUAGGUAUGCAAAUCAGUUCUCUCCAGAGGUAGGAGGAGCCUCCCCCCACUGGCCUGAAAGGUCAGUUUCACAUCAGCAGGGAGGCCAUUCAACAGGCUUUCUGUGCUUCUUGGCCUCCUCUUUGGAGCAGCCAUCCUAUCUGCCUGAUGUCCUGUUUCCUUAAUGAAUUAAAUAAAAAUUUUAACAUGUGUUUCAUUUGAUAUCUGUGGGAGAGUCAUGAUUUUGCCUCCUUCUGAAAAUUAUCUUUUAAUGGAGAAGAAGAGGAAUGGGGGGGGGUGGGGAGUUGGAGGGAGGCGUCUUCUAGGUCCCAUGCCUGUGAGGAUGGGAGGUUCGGUUCAGCUCUGCUCACAUCUGCACUCUCCCUAAACUGCUCACUUCGGUACCACCAGAAUGUUCCAAGAAGACCCAGCACAGGAUCAAAUAGAGAAAGAGAUUCGGGAAGUAUAGCACCUGUGUUGAAACUGUAACCAAGCAGGUCCCCGUGGGGCUCCUGGACACGAAAGCCUUUCCAUGUCCCCCAUUUCUUGUUCUUAGGAGACAGGCCUCAUUCAGCCUCCAGGACCUUCCCUGAGUUCAAGGGUCAGGUUCAGACAGUUGCUGAUCAGGGAAGGAAGGGGAUCCGGAGACCAGCGAGGAGCACAGUCAAGCAACAAUAGUGUGGCCUUGGGGCAGCAGGGCCCAGGUUCCCUCUCAAGGGAGACACAUAAUGAUGUAAGCAUCUUAUACACCUAAGAGAAAAGUGAUAUUCCCUAUGCUUCUUUCAGAAAUGAACACUUUAAAACUGAACAGCUUAGGGUCCUUCCUUGUCCUUUUCCCUGGCUUAACUGCACCCUAAACGCAAUCACCCAUAAGCUAAAGAUUAGGCACCCAGAACACAAUUGCCUGUGGGUUGAAGAUUAUGAGCAAAUGAUAUUUUUCAGGAACUUUCCUAGUUUGUUCUCAUCUCUGAUCAAUAUGCCCUUUUCAGAAGUACUGUUACUCUAGGCAAUAACCCAGAAGACCACCACCAGGAUCUAUCCAAGAUCUCCUGACUCCAGCUUUGAGGACUAAGAUUCCCCCAAAGGAAGAAGAAUGCAUGUCUGCCCCAAUCCCGAUUCCUAUCUGAAAACCUCUUUUUCCCCUUGUUUACUAUAAAACCCGGAGCAAUUCUUCCCAAUGGAUGGCACAGUCUUAAAGGCAUUAGCCUGCUAUAGCCUCCUUUGCCUGGCAAAGCAAUAAAAGCUAUUUUUUUUUUCCUUCAACGAGAACUGUCUGCAUGUUUCUGUUCAGCUCCUGUGGACAGAAGCCAAGUUUCAGCACCAAAACCAUCCAUGAUGAUCCCAAGGGAAAGUAAAAACCUCAUCUGAAGAGCGGGACUAAUCCAUUUGCAGGCAGAAAAUGAUCAUUAUUUCUCACCUUUUGAUGUCCAAGUUCCCAGAGGUAAAAACUCCUAAUUUUCACAGGGGAAAUACAGCAAGAUGACCCAGACAGAUGCCAUCUCAGAAAGAUUAGGGAACCACUUCUGUAUUCCUAGCAGCUCCAGAUUUGCAGUCUCAGGUGUUAUCUGAAUGCAACUGCAAAACCAGGACACUUGUACAGACUGCAAACAAGGCGGCCAGGGAAAGGGCUGCCCCCUGGAUCAAGGGACAUGAGAUGAUACAUGAGAGCCUCCAAAACCGGUGUUCUGACUCAGUUACCUGGAAAGUCAGAUGAGUUCUGAUUGCCCAGGUACAGAGACAAAAGCUCCAGGGAGGGAGUGGGGCUGCCUGUAUUUGGGUAACAGCAUUUCUCCUUGAAAAGUUAAACUUGAGAGUGCAUCUGCAUCUGCUCAGAAACAAGGUCCUCUGAAUUUUAAAAUAUUAAAAUAAGUCCUGGAGUUCCUGUUGAGUGUCAGCAGGUUGAGAAGCCGACAUAGUAUCUGUGAGGAUGUGGCUCUGAUCCCUGGCCUGCAUCAGUGGGUUAAGGAUCCAGCAUUGCUGCAAGCUGUGGCAUAGGUCACAGAUGGGGCCCAGAUCCUGUGUUGCUGUGGCUGUGGCAGAGGCCACAGCUACAGCUCUGAUUUGACCCCUAGCCAGGGAACUUCCAUAUGUCACAGGUGUGGCUGUAAAACACAAAAUACACAAGAAAACAAUUUUUUAAUUAAAAAAAAUAAAUAAAACAUGGGUGUUUCUGUCGUGGUGCAGUGGAAAUGAAUCCGACUAGGAAUCACAAGGUUGCAGGUUCAAACCCUGGCCUCACUCAAUGGAUCAAGGAUCCAGCAUUGCCAUGAGCUGUGGUGUACGUCACAGACUUGGCUUGGAUCCUGUGUUGCUGUGGCUGUGGCACAGGCUGACGGCUACAGCUUCAAUUAGCCUGGGAACUUCCAUAUGCUGCAGGUGCAGCCCUAAAAAGACAAAA
rnacentral:lncRNA from 1 species